UACGGGGGGAGCAAGCGUUGUUCGGAAUCACUGGGCGUAAAGGGCGCGUAGGCGGCAAUUCAAGUCAGCUGUGAAAUCUCCGGGCUUAACUCGGAACGGUCAGCUGAUACUGCUUUGCUAGAGUGCAGAAGGGGCAAUCGGAAUUCUUGGUGUAGCGGUGAAAUGCGUAGAUAUCAAGAGGAACACCUGAGGUGAAGACGGGUUGCUGGGCUGACACUGACGCUGAGUGCGCGAAAGCGUGGGGAGCAAACAGG
rnacentral:rRNA from 1 species